rnacentral:rRNA from 1 species
CACGGGGGGAGCAAGCGUUGUUCGGAAUCACUGGGCGUAAAGGGCGUGUAGGCGGUCAAGGAAGUGGGAUGUGAAAUCCCUCGGCUCACCCGAGGACCUGCAUCCCAAACUGCUUGGCUUGAGUAUGGGAGAGGAUGAGGGAAUUCCUGGUGUAGCGGUGAAAUGCGUAGAUAUCAGGAGGAACACCGGUGGCGAAGGCGCUCAUCUGGCCCAAUACUGACGCUGAGGCGCGAAGGCUAGGGGAGCAAACGGG